rnacentral:rRNA from 1 species
ACGAACGCUGGCGGCGUGCUUAACACAUGCAAGUCAAGGGGGCCCAGCAAUGGGCAACCGGCGAACGGGUGCGUAACACGUGAGCAACCUUCCGAAAUAUGGGGGAUAGCCGGCCUAACGGCCGAGUAAUACCGCAUACGCUCUCGAUGAGGCAUUCCAUUAAGAGGAAACCUCCGGGGUAUCUCGAGGGGCUCGCGGCCUAUCAGCUAGUUGGCGAGGUAACGGCUCACCAAGGCAACGACGGGUAGCUGGUCUGAGAGGAUGGCCAGCCACAUUGGGACUGAGAUACGGCCCAGACUCCUACGGGAGGCAGCAGUGGGGAAUCUUGCGCAAUGGCCUAACGGCUGACGCAGCGACGCCGCGUGUGGGAUGAAGCUCUUCGGAGUGUAAACCACUGUUGCCCGGGACGAAUAGCUCGAUUAAUCGAGCCUGACAGUACCGGGUGAGGAAGCACCGGCUAACCCCGUGCCAGCAGCCGCGGUAAUACGGGGGGUGCGAGCGUUGUCCGGAAUCACUGGGCGUAAAGGGCGCGUAGGUGGUUUGAUAAGGGUGUGGUGAAAGUCCGGGGCUCAACCCCGGAUCUGCCGUGCCGACUGUCAAACUCGAGGACUGUAGAGGCAGACGGAAUUCCGGGUGUAGCGGUGGAAUGCGUAGAGAUCCGGAGGAAGACCGGUGGCGAAGGCGGUCUGCUGGGCAGUUUCUGACACUGAGGCGCGACAGCGU